rnacentral:rRNA from 1 species
AAUCAACGCUGGCGGCGUGCCUCAGACAUGCAAGUCGAACGCGAAAGGCCCCUUCGGGGGCCGAGUAGAGUGGCGCACGGGUGAGUAACACGUGGGUAAUUUACCUCUGGGUGGGGAAUAGCGGCUGGAAACGGCCAUUAAUACCGCAUAAUGCAGCGGCUCGACAUCGAGACAGUUGUUAAAGCGGGGGCUUCGUAAGAACCUCGCGCCUGGAGAAAAGCCCACGGCGGAUUAGCUAGUGGUAGGGUAAUGGCCUACCAAGGCGACGAUCCGUAACCGGCCUGAGAGGGGCGGUCGGUCACACUGACACUGAAUAACGGGUCAGACUCCUACGGGAGGCAGCAGUCGGGAAUUUUGGGCAAUGGGCGCAAGCCUGACCCAGCAACGCCGCGUGAAGGAUGAAAUCCCUCGGGAUGUAAACUUCGCAAGAACAGGAAGAAUAAGUAGAAGACAAUACCUUCUAUGAUGACGGUACUGUUUGUAAGCUCCGGCUAACUCCGUGCCAGCCGCCGCCGUAAU